rnacentral:rRNA from 1 species
UACGUAGGGUGCAAGCGUUGUCCGGAAUUAUUGGGCGUAAAGAGCUCGUAGGCGGUCUGUCGCGUCUGCUGUGAAAACCUGGGGCUUAACCCCGGGCCUGCAGUGGGUACGGGCAGACUAGAGUGCGGUAGGGGAGACUGGAAUUCCUGGUGUAGCGGUGAAAUGCGCAGAUAUCAGGAGGAACACCGGUGGCGAAGGCGGUUCUCUGGGCCUUACCUGACGCUGAGGAGCGAAAGCGUGGGGAGCGAACAGG